rnacentral:rRNA from 1 species
AUUGAACGCUGGCGGCAGGCCUAACACAUGCAAGUCGAGCGAGCGGCGGACGGGUGAGUAAUGUCUGGGAAACUGCCUGAUGGAGGGGGAGAACUACUGGAAACGGUAGCUAAUAUCGCAUAUCACCUGAUGUGCCCACAUGUGAUUAGCUAGGUGGUGGGGUAACGGCUCACCCAGGCGACGAUGCCCAGCUGGUCUGAGAGGAUGACCAGCCACACUGGAACUGAGACACGGUCCAGACUCCUACGGGAGGCAGCAGUGGGGAAUAUUGCACAAUGGGCGCAAGCCUGAUGCAGCCAUGCCGCGUGUGUGAAGAAGGCCUUCGGGUUGUAAAGCACUUUCAGCGGGGAGGCGUUACCCGCAGAAGAAGCACCGGCUAACUCCGUGCCAGCCGCCGCGGUAAUUC